rnacentral:rRNA from 1 species
ACGCAGAACUCCGAUUGGGAAGGCAGCAUACCGGCGCCCGACUGACGCUGAGGCACGAAAGCGUGGGUAUCGAACAGGAUUAGAUACCCUGGUAGUCCACGCAGUAAACGAUGAAUACUAAUUGUCCGGUCAGAAUGAUGACUGGGUGAUACAGCGAAAGCGUUAAGUAUUCCACCUGGGGAGUACGCCGGCAACGGUGAAACUCAAAGGAAUUGACGGGGGCCCGCACAAGCGGAGGAACAUGUGGUUUAAUUCGAUGAUACGCGAGGAACCUUACCCGGGCUCAAACGUAGAAUGACAGACGGUGAAAGCCGUUCUCCCUUCGGGGCAGUCUACGAGGUGCUGCAUGGUUGUCGUCAGCUCGUGCCGUGAGGUGUCGGCUUAAGUGCCAUAACGAGCGCAACCCCCAUCUACAGUUGCUAACAGGUAAAGCUGAGGACUCUGUGGAGACUGCCGGCGCAAGCUGUGAGGAAGGCGGGGAUGACGUCAAAUCAGCACGGCCCUUACGUCCGGGGCGACACACGUGUUACAAUGGCAGGUACAGCGGGAAGCCAUAUGGCGACAUAGAGCGGAACCCGAAAACCUGUCUCAGUUCGGAUUGGAGUCUGCAACUCGACUCCAUGAAGCUGGAUUCGCUAGUAAUCGCGCAUCAGCCACGGCGCGGUGA